CACGCCGUAAACGAUGAGUGCUAGGUGUCGGAGGGGAACCUUCGGUGCCGCAGCAAACGCAAUAAGCACUCCACCUGGGGAGUACGAUCGCAAGAUUGAAACUCAAAGGAAUUGACGGGG
rnacentral:rRNA from 1 species